GUUAGAGAGGGGCUGGGUGCAGCAGGGGCUGUGGCUGACCCUCAUUUCCUGGCAGGGUCCCUGGCUCAGUAUGACAGACACUGGUUGGAAGUGCAGGAAACUGUGACUCUGCAGGAGGGCAUGUGCGUCUCUGUGCCCUGCACCUUCUCCUAUCCCUGGUACUAUUGGACUGACUCUGCCCCAGCUCAUGGCUACUGGUUCCAGAGGGGCCAAAUCCAUGCCAGGAUGCCCGAGCGGCCACAAACGACCCAGUUCGUAAAGUGUGGGAGGAGACCCAGGGCCGAUUCCACCUGCUCAGGGACCCCAGGACUACAACGGCUCCCUGGACAUCAGAGAUGCCACAAGGAGUGACAACAGAAGAUACUUUUUUGGGUGGAGAGAAAUUACAAAUCUAGCCACCUCUCUGCGCAUGCGACAGCCUCAGAAGAGUGACCUGUGACAAAGACUCUGGUGUCUCCCAUCAGAGUGAAGACCUGCAGGAAGAAAGCAGCCAGGAAAGCAGUUGACAGGAAUGACAUUAAUCCUGCAAUCUGGCCAGCUUUGUUGCUGGAGUCCAAGUGAGACAGUCCCACUGACCCCACGAGCUCUGGAGGGACAGCCCCCACCUUGGAGAUGGAGCAGGAGCUGCAUUAUGCUUUCCUUAGCUUUCACUGGAUGAAUACUCAAGAUAGCACCUACAGGACACUGUGAAGGACGCAUGGGAUCAUCAGUCUCAGAUGGAGACUCCAUAUCCUCUACAGGAAAAGGGGCUCAAAGACUGAUUCUUGGAGACUUCAUAUCCCCAUAGACAAUGGUUUUAUAAACUAUUGUAUGUGAG
rnacentral:lncRNA from 1 species